rnacentral:rRNA from 1 species
GAUGAACGCUGGCGGCGUGCCUAAUACAUGCAAGUCGAGCGAACGGACGAGAAGCUUGCUUCUCUGACGUUAGCGGCGGACGGGUGAGUAACACGUGGAUAACCUACCUAUAAGACUGGGAUAACUUCGGGAAACCGGAGCUAAUACCGGAUGAUAUUUUGAACCGCAUGGUUCAAAAGUGAAAGACGGUCUUGCUGUCACUUAUAGAUGGAUCCGCGCUGCAUUAGCUAGUUGGUAAGGUAACGGCUUACCAAGGCAACGAUGCUUAGCCGACCUGAGAGGGUGAGCGGCCACACUGGAACUGAGACACGGUCCAGACUCCUACGGGAGGCAGCAGUAGGGAAUCUUCCGCAAAGGGCGAAAGCCUGACGGAGCAACGCCGCGUGAGUGAUGAAGGUCUUCGGAUCGUAAAACUCUGUUAUUAGGGAAGAACAUAUGUGUAAGUAACUGUGCACAUCUUGACGGUACCUAAUCAGAAAGCCACGGCUAACUACGUG